rnacentral:sRNA from 1 species
UGGUGAAGCCUGUGUCUCUGACUUCCAGCAUUGAAUGAAGGUGCUAAAGGGUGGGGUGCUAACCCUAGCUCAGGGCUGGCAUUUCAGAUCUGGAGCUGGUGGCCUGGAGCCAUAGUGGCAGCAUAGAGCCAACAGAUGCACAUGUCAUAUCAGUGUGGGGCGUGGCAGUCACUGGCUUGGGCCCCUCUGCCUGUCACGCAGGUGACACAUAGUGACCUGCCUCUCGGCUCCCUGUCACUGCUGCAGGAGCCCCCUGGUGAAGGCCGUCUUCCAUGCCUGCAGAGCCAUGCAUGCGUCACUCCCUGGGAAAGCAGAUGGGCAGCAGAGUUCCUUCUGCCAUUGUGAGAGGGCCAGCGGCCACCUAUGGAGCAGCCUCAACGUCAGCGGGGCCACCUCUGACCCUGUCCUCAACCACGUGGUCCAGCUGCUCACCUGUGACCUGCUACUGU